rnacentral:piRNA from 1 species
GGAUGAGGGCUGAUAGUUCCAGGGAGC